AGGAUGAACGCUGGCGGCGUGCCUAAUACAUGCAAGUCGAGCGGUAAGGCCCCUUCGGGGGUACACGAGCGGCGGACGGCUGAGUAACACGUAGGAACGUACCCCAAAGUGAGGGAUAAGCACCAGAAAUGGUGUCUAAUACCGCAUGUGCUCUUCGGAGGAAAGCUUCGGCGCUUUGGGAACGGCCUGCGCAUGAUUAGCUUGUUGGUGAGGUAAUGGCUCACCAAGGCGACGAUCAUUA
rnacentral:rRNA from 1 species